rnacentral:rRNA from 1 species
UAAUACGGAGGGUGCAAGCGUUAUCCGGAUUCACUGGGUUUAAAGGGUGCGUAGGUGGGCAGGUAAGUCAGUGGUGAAAUCUCUGGGCUUAACCCGGAAACUGCCGUUGAUACUAUCUGUCUUGAAUAUAGUGGAGGUGAGCGGAAUAUGUCAUGUAGCGGUGAAAUGCUUAGAUAUGACAUAGAACAUCGAUUGCGAAGGCAACUCGCUACGCUAUUAUUGACACUGAGGCACGAAAGCGUGGGGAUCAAACAGGAUUAGAUACCCUGGUAGUCCACGCCCUAAACGAUGGAUACUCGACAUCAGCGAUACACAGUUGGUGUCUGAGCGAAAGCAUUAAGUAUCCCACCUGGGAAGUACGACCGCAAGGUU